rnacentral:rRNA from 1 species
CCCUUAGAUGUUCUGGGCCGCACGCGCGCUACACUGAUGCAUUCAACGAGUCUAAAACCUGCUCUGAUAGGGGUGGGUAAUCUUUUGAAUGUGCAUCGUGAUUGGGAUAGAUGAUUGCAAUUUUUCAUCUUCAACGAGGAAUGCCUAGUAAACGCAAGUCAUCAGCUUGCAUUGAUUACGUCCCUGCCCUUUGUACACACCGCCCGUCGCUCCUACCGAUUGAAUGAUCCGAUGAAUAUCAUGGAUUGAGGAUGCAAGUAGGUUCGCCUAUCUUCAUCUUCGAGAAGUGAAGUAAAUCUUAUCAUUGAGAGGAAGGAGAAGGCGUAACA